rnacentral:rRNA from 1 species
GGGGGCUAGCGUUGCUCGGAAUCACUGGGCGUAAAGGGUGCGUAGGCGGGUUUUUAAGUUAGGGGUGAAAUCCUGGAGCUCAACUCCAGAACUGCCUUUGAUACUGAAGAUCUUGAGUCCGGGAGAGGUGAGUGGAACUGCGAGUGUAGAGGUGAAAUUCGUAGAUAUUCGCAAGAACACCAGUGGCGAAGGCGGCUCACUGGCCCGGUACUGACGCUGAGGCACGAAAGCGUGGGGAGCAAACAGG